rnacentral:rRNA from 1 species
UGUAAGCGUAUACCAAAGUUGUUGCAGUUAAAACGCUCGUAGUCGGACUUUGGCAGUUCCGGAUGUGUGCACGUCGUGUGCGCACUUCGCGGGGAUUGCUUUUGUGGUCUUGCGUAGGAUGAGGCACUUUUAUUAGUGAACGUCCUCACGCGACCACUUUUUACUGUGAGAAAAUCAGAGUGCUCAAAGCAGGCAUUUGCCGUGAAUGUAUUAGCAUGGAAUAAUAGAAUAGGACUUGGUUCUAUUUUGUUGGUUUGUUGGGACUGAGUAAUGAUUAAGAGGGACAGUUGGGGGCAUUUGUAUUUCGGUGCUAGAGGUGAAAUUCUUAGAUUACCGAAAGACAAACUGCUGCGAAAGCGUCUGCCAAGGAUGUUUUCAUUGA